ensembl:lncRNA
UUUGAUCUGCCACUAUGAUGUGGUAAUGUAGAUCAUCUGACAGCAAUAUAAGGCAAGUCAAAUCUGAAUAUUUUGUAUAUGGAUACAUCAAAAAAACUGUAUUCACUUGUUUUAAGUGCAGAUUCAUUAUUUCUUAACAUGUUCUUCUGUUUCCUUGCAUGACUCUUUCCAACUACAUGCCCUGGUUUGAGCUGCUGCAAUAGUGAUUAUGGUUUGAGCCAUCACAAUGGCAAAGAUGGUAAUACAUCAAAAGCGCCAUCACAAUGACAAACAUGAUCGUCUGAUAGAAGAACAUGUUCAGGGCACUUAAAGGGACUUGAAGGGAUUCACUUUCCUCGUCACUGGAGCAGAGUGCUGGUGUCUUUAGGAAGCUCAGGAUGGGGAGGAUGUUUCAGACGUCAGAGCUACAGCAGACACCUGUCAUCUAUUGGACACUGUGUUCUUCCUCAGCAGCUUUGAAGCUUAUCUUUUGAAGUUCAGCCUUGAGCCUGUACGUUUCCAGCAAACAAGACUGCAGUGCAUUCUUCCGUUCUCCUUCCACCGCUCCUCUGCAUUGUUGCAAAACAUCUAGAGAGAUUAUGUAAAGUCUCUCUCAGGUCACAAGGACACAAGGCCACAUACAGCAUUGAAGUGAAUGUUAAGCUGCUACCACACUAUGAAGUGAACUCUACAGGCAGUCCAUACUACUCCAGGGAGACCAAAUAGCUUUGCUAAAUAAUUAUUUCACCAACAAUUUCAGUUUCCUCUUCAUUUUUCUAACUCACAAUAUUCAAAGGCCUGAGAACUACCUAUUUCAAAAACCUGUUUUUAUCAAAGACUCUGACAAUUAGAGAAAACUGUGGUGAGGGAUUGGUAGAAAAAGUGGUUAAUGAAUUGUACUGAAUUGAAUUUCAUUUGUUUACAUUUUGCUGCAAAGCCUAUAAUAGGUUCUUUAAUGGCAGGUUCCAUUGUGACAGCGUGACCCCAUAUUGGUCAAGGUGUGUUAUGUAAACUCUAUAUUUUUUCCUGAGCGCAAUACCCUAAGAUGUUUUUGAAUAGUUUUUGUAACAUGAAAUUGUAUAGCAUAUAUGUGAUUAAUUGGUAUAAUAAUAAUAAUCACAUUUUGCAUUUAACUGUAUUACAUUGCUAAUUAUUAAUUCUUACCAUGUUAAAAUUGAUAGUAAUAUUUAUUGUAACGUCAGUAUUUAUACAUAUAAACAAAAAUACCUAACCAUAUUUGUUUGUAAUACGCUGCUUUGGUACACAAGAAAUAUUUAUUAUUAGCAUCUUAUUAUUAUCAAUAUUUUUGUGGAAACUGUACAUACUUUUAUUUUCAGGAUUCCUUGAUGCAUGGAAAGUUCAAAAGAACA